rnacentral:lncRNA from 1 species
AUGAAUUAAAUCAUAAACCUAUUACCUACCUACCAUUUACCUUACUUCCUUUCUUUUCUUUUUCUUUGGACAUAACCAUCACAAUCAAACUUUAAUUUUGAUUGUCAUACACUCAAUUACACAUUACCCUAUUAUUAUAUUGAGGAGCACAUGGUGUAGAACAACCCAUUUCUGAUUUCUUAUAAAGAGACCAAUAUGAUUUUAUUAUCAAACCACACUAAAAUACACAUACACCCAAAAGUCUAAUCUAAGUUCAAGAGUUCAAGUUCGAAGUUCAGUGCUUUCAAAAUCCAUCUCUUUGCUUGAAUCAAGUUCGCAUAAGUUUUGAGGACGACCCAAUUUGUGGAUUCUCUUUUGCUUGCUAAACUAAGGUACGGAUUCCCAUUUCUGACAUCAUAGUAUUUUUAUCCUAUCCGUCACUUUGCAGUGCGGAUUUUUGUGUGUCCCUGUUAGCCGUUUGAUAUGUGAUGCGAACCAGUCUGGUAUUGUUUGUAUGAUUAUUAGAGUGAUGUAGCAUGCCAUACCUUAGACUUGUACUCAUGGUCGCAUGUUCCUAUUAGUAUUAUUUUCAGUUGAUUGUAAACUAUUUACAUGGCCUUAGUUUUUGUACUCUGUCACCCGAGCGUCUGGCUUGCCGUUUGGGCGUCAACGGCAUGGCACUUAUCGUGACAUUUUUGUACUCUGUCCCCCGAGCGUCUGGCUUGCCGUUUGGGCGUCAACGGCAUGGAACUUAUCGUGACAGUGCGUAAUAAAAGUUCACGGCGUCUCUAGUUUGUGCUCGUGUAGCGCCUUGGCCCCUAGAGGCGUAUAGAUCGAUCUUAGUUCCGAGUUUGAGUUUGUAGUGUGGAGAUGGAAUAAUGAGUGAACGCCACACUCACCAUCUCAUAGGUACAUGGACUAGCUAGCUGU